UGGCUCCGUAUGAGCGCUAGCGGCAGGCUUAACACAUGCAAGUCGAGGGGUAGCGGGGAGGAAGCUUGCUUUCUCCGCCGGCGACCGGCGCACGGGUGAGUAACACGUAUGCAACCUGCCCCUGUCAGGGGGACAACCCGCCGAAAGGCGGGCUAAACCCGCGUACAUGCCACCGGGGCAUCCCGGAGGCAGGAAAGGCUUCGGCCGGACAGGGAUGGGCAUGCGGCGCAUUAGGCAGUAGGCGGGGUAACGGCCCACCUAACCGACGAUGCGUAGGGGUUCUGAGAGGAAGGUCCCCCACACUGGUACUGAGACACGGACCAGACUCCUACGGGAGGCAGCAGUGAGGAAUAUUGGUCAAUGGUCGGGAGACUGAACCAGCCAAGCCGCGUGAGGGAGGAAGGUACAGAGUAUCGUAAACCUCUUUUGUCAGGGAACAAAGACUGGGACGCGUCCCCGGAUGAGUGUACCUGAAGAAAAAGCAUCGGCUAACUCCGUGCCAGCAGCCGCGGUAAUACGGAGGAUGCGAGCGUUAUCCGGAUUUAUUGGGUUUAAAGGGUGCGCAGGCGGUCUGUUAAGUCAGCGGUCAAAGCCCGGGGCUCAACCCCGGCCCGCCGUUGAAACUGGCAGUCUCGAGUUGGAGAGAAGUAUGCGGAAUGCGCGGUGUAGCGGUGAAAUGCAUAGAUAUCGCGCAGAACUCCGAUUGCGAAGGCAGCAUGCCGGCUCCACACUGACGCUGAGGCACGAAAGCGUGGGUAUCGAACAGGAUUAGAUACCCAGGUAGUCCACGCAGUAAACGAUGAAUGCUGGCUGUCCGGGGGGACUGACCCCUGGGUGGCGAAGCGAAAGCGAUAAUCAUUCCACCUGGGGAGUACGCCGGCAACGGUGAAACUCAAAGGAAUUGACGGGGGCCCGCACAAGCGGAGGAACAUGUGGUUUAAUUCGAUGAUACGCGAGGAACCUUACCCGGGCUCAAACGGGGAGUGGCGCAGGCAGAGACGCCUGUUUCCCACGGGACACUCCCCGAGGUGCUGCAUGGUUGUCGUCAGCUCGUGCCGUGAGGUGUCGGCUUAAGUGCCAUAACGAGCGCAACCCCCGCGUGCAGUUGCUAACAGUCAACGCUGAGGACUCUGCACGGACUGCCGGCGCAAGCCGCGAGGAAGGCGGGGAUGACGUCAAAUCAGCACGGCCCUUACGUCCGGGGCGACACACGUGUUACAAUGGGUGGUACAGCGGGAAGCCAGGCGGCGACGCCGAGCGGAACCCGAAAUCCACUCUCAGUUCGGAUCGGAGUCUGCAACCCGACUCCGUGAAGCUGGAUUCGCUAGUAAUCGCGCAUCAGCCAUGGCGCGGUGAAUACGUUCCCGGGCCUUGUACACACCGCCCGUCAAGCCAUGGGAGCCGAGGGCGCUUGAAGUGCGUCGCCGCGAGGCGCGCCCUAGAGCGAAAUCGGUGACUGGGGCUAAGUCGUAACAAGG
rnacentral:rRNA from 1 species